GACGAACGCUGGCGGCGUGCUUAACACAUGCAAGUCGAACGGAAAGGCCCUGCUUUUGUGGGGUGCUCGAGCGGCGAACGGGUGAGUAACACGUGAGUAACCUGCCCUUGACUUUGGGAUAACUUCAGGAAACUGGGGCUAAUACCGGAUAGGAGCUCCUGCUGCAUGGUGGGGGUUGGAAAGUUUCGGCGGUUGGGGAUGGACUCGCGGCUUAUCAGCUUGUUGGUGGGGUAGUGGCUUACCAAGGCUUUGACGGGUAGCCGGCCUGAGAGGGUGACCGGCCACAUUGGGACUGAGAUACGACCCAGACUCCUACGGGAGGCAGCAGUGGGGAAUAUUGCACAAUGGGCGGAAGCCUGAUGCAGCAACGCCGCGUGCGGGAUGACGGCCUUCGGGUUGUAAACCGCUUUCGCCUGUGACGAAGCGUGAGUGACGGUAAUGGGUAAAGAAGCACCGGCUAACUACGUG
rnacentral:rRNA from 1 species